CAUACGAUCACCUAAGUUAAGCAACAUCGAGCCAGGUCAGUACCUAGAUGGGUGACCGCUUGGGAAUACCAGGUGCUGUAAG